UACGUAGGGUCCGAGCGUUGUCCGGAAUUAUUGGGCGUAAAGGGCUCGUAGGCGGUUCGUCGCGUCGAGAGUGAAACUCGGAGCUCAACUCCGAGCCUGCUUCCGAUACGGGCAGACUAGAGGUAGGCAGGGGAGACUGGAAUUCCUGGUGUAGCGGUGAAAUGCGCAGAUAUCAGGAGGAACACCGGUGGCGAAGGCGGGUCUCCUGGGCCGAUACUGACGCUGAGGAGCGAAAGCGUGGGGAGCGAACAGG
rnacentral:rRNA from 1 species